UUUUGAUGACCUCGCUUCUCUCUGGGUCGAGUUUCCCAGGGGCCCUGGCCUGCCAACGGGUCAGAUGACUUCUGGAAAGACUUCUGGGAUCGGGAAGCGAGCAUUACUGGUGUUGGAAGUGUGGGGACCUGGCAGGAUUCCUUCUUGGAGCCGGGGCGUUGUACACGUUAGCUGGGCGAACGCCGCUGCUUUUGCCUUGGAAUUCUUGAAUCUUGCAACGUCCAUCCACGGAUCGGAGGCACAAGAUCCGGCAGAGAUAAUGCAGCCCGUGUUGUGCACAGAGUGUGUGAACGGCCCGAGCCCCCUACAGGGCCGAAGAGACGCUAACACAGAGGGCCAGGAGAGUCAGGUGGAUCCAAUCGGGAACACGCCAUCAUGGCUAUUCAGACAUUUCCCAGGAGCUCAGCACGUACUCUUCGUUCUACCAGUUCUCUAAAACUGGGGAUCAAAGGUAACAAUGUGAGGAACCAUCCCGACUCCUGCCUACAUGCCUGGCACCCUGCACCAUUCUCCGGCCAGUCUGGGCAUCCUACAAGCAAUUCCACACGUGGCAGCUGUCAACUCCAGCCCACUUCCGCCAGCAGGGUUCCAACGCUGUUACAGGCACCACCCCUGCACCCUCUCCUCUGCGGCCUGGUGUGAGCUUUUUACUAAAUUUCAGUAUCCUUGUAAUCACCGCCUCAAG
rnacentral:lncRNA from 1 species